CGUCUUUGAAUACGAGCCAUUUUAAUUUUUAAUGCGCCCUUCGCGUCCGUUCCUCUUCUUUCCGCAAAUGUGGCACUCAUUCCUUUUCUUUCCCCACUCCCUAGCUGUCUUCUCCUUCUCCUCUUUCCAUUACAUUUCUCCACCUUCUCCCUGGUACCACCAGCGCCCCCAUUCCCCUCUCCUCCAGUAAAACUACAAAAAACCCUAACCCCAAAAAAAACCCAAACCCCUGUCGCGAUGAAAUCUCCACCCCCAAAUAGCUCUUUGGAAUAGAACCAAGGAACUUACCAAAUCCAUUACAUGCUAUCGGGGUUUUGGCGUGUUUCCGGUGUGAAAGAAGGAAAAAGAAAUGUGUACACGACGGUGAUGUACGUAGGUACACUGAAGGACUAUGAAUUCUACAUAGCCAUAUGCGUGCUUCUCAAAUCGUUGGCUAUGCUCAAUUUUGUGUCAAUCGGUACUACUACAUGUGUUUGAAUGACCUACUUGCACUUGGCGGUGGGGGUAAUUAUGCUUUAUGCUUAAAAGAAUAUUUGUUUGUAUUUAAUAAUGCUGCUUAGUUUUUGUUCCAGUACAUUUUAAUUGUAAUUGAAGUACACUAGUGGGCCUUCUGACACAUUUCGAAGCAAAUGUCUAACUCAUAGUCCAGAGUUUGAGUUGAAGAAUGUUGAAGCACUUGUUGCUGCGUUGAGUGUCUUCAACUGCUUGGUUAACGUUGCACAAGCUCAAUCUGCAAACGCCACCACUGAUCCUUCCGAAGGUUGGAUCAAUAUGCUAUAGCAAAAUUUGCUAAAAGUUUUCAAAUGAUUCCUAGAACUUUGGCUGAGAAUGUUGGGUUCAAUGCUGGCAUUGAUUUGGAAGAAGGCGUAUGUAAGGAUAUCUCAACCUUGUGCAUUUGGGAUCUCCAUGUGACUAAGUUAUUUGCUCUUAAAUAUGCUACUGAUGUUGCAUGCACUGUACUACGUGUGGACUAGAUUAUUAUGGCAAAACCAACUGGUGGCAUGGAUGAAGACUAAAAUUAAUGGUUUGCUUUGGCCAUGCUUGUAUCUCAACAUGAUGACUUGAAUUUGCCUUAGGCAUGUUUUCUUUAUUUAGACUUUAGUAUUGAUGGCGAUCUUACAAAUUUUGAAUUUUAUUUAAUUUGCCAUGAAAUACAAAGAGAUGUGGUCUGCAUGUAAAACAACAUUUUAUUCAUAGCAAUGUUAUAUAUUAUAUAGUAAUUUAAAUUCUUGCAAAA